GAUGAACGCUGGCGGCGUGCCUAAUACAUGCAAGUCGAGCGAACAGACGAGGAGCUUGCUCCUCUGACGUUAGCGGCGGACGGGUGAGUAACACGUGGAUAACCUACCUAUAAGACUGGGAUAACUUCGGGAAACCGGAGCUAAUACCGGAUAAUAUAUUGAACCGCAUGGUUCAAUAGUGAAAGACGGUUUUGCUGUCACUUAUAGAUGGAUCCGCGCCGCAUUAGCUAGUUGGUAAGGUAACGGCUUACCAAGGCAACGAUGCGUAGCCGACCUGAGAGGGUGAUCGGCCACACUGGAACUGAGACACGGUCCAGACUCCUACGGGAGGCAGCAGUAGGGAAUCUUCCGCAAUGGGCGAAAGCUUGACGGAGCAACGCCGCGUGAGUGAUGAAGGUCUUCGGAUCGUAAAACUCUGUUAUUAGGGAAGGACAAAUAUGUAAGUAACUAUGCACGUCUUGACGGUACCUAAUCAGAAAGCCACGGCUAACUACGUG
rnacentral:rRNA from 1 species